rnacentral:rRNA from 1 species
GAUGAACGCUGGCGGCGUGCUUAACACAUGCAAGUCGAGCGAAAAGACGCGGAGCUUGUUUGUCUCUCGUUUGACGCGGGCGUGAGUGACACACGUGUAUCCUGUACUUGUCUGUCUGGGAUCAUCACGGGAAACCGGAGCAAAUCCGGUAUGAUAUCUUGAACCGCAUGGUUAGAUGGAAAGAUUCGGCUUUUGUGUCUGUAAUCGCUGGUUCCGCGCCGGAUUAGCUAGUUGGUAAGGUAACAGCGUAUCAAGGCUACGAUGCGUAGCCGACCGGAGCGGGGGAUCGGCCACACUGGAACUGAGACACGGUCCAGACUCCUACGGGAGGCAGCAGUAGGGAAUCUUCCGCAAUGGGCGAAAGCCUGACGGAGCAACGCCGCGUGAGAGAUGAAGGUCUUCGGAUCGUAAAACGCUGUUAUGAGGGAAGAACAGAUGUGUAAUGAACUAGGCAGGUCGUGACGGUACCUGAUCAAAAAGCCACGGCUAACUACGUG